CAGAGGGUGCAAGCGUUAAUCGGAAUUACUGGGCGUAAAGCGAGCGUAGUCGGUUAUUUAAGUCGGAUGUGAAAUCCCCGGGCUCAACCUGGGAAUUGCAUUCGAUACUGGAUAGCUAGAGUUCGGCAGAGGGAAGCGGAAUUUCUGGUGUAGCGGUGAAAUGCGUAGAUAUCAGAAGGAACAUCAGUGGCGAAAGCGGCUUCCUGGACCAGAACUGACGAUCAGGCUCGAGAGCGUGGGGAGCAAACAGGAUUAGAUACCCUGGUAGUCCACGCCAUAAACGAUGACAACUAGACGUUGGGGACAUAUGGUCCACAGUGUCGCAGCUAACGCGUUAAGUUGUCCGCCUGGGGAGUACGGCCGCAAGGUUG
rnacentral:rRNA from 1 species